UCGGAGGGUGAUCUGGCUGUGACCUCUGUCACCUCAUUGAUCACCAGGGUUGAUUUGCCUGGUCUAGCUGACUAGAUGGGUGACCUGUUUUUCCCUCAGCACUGUAUGUAUGACCUUCUGAAGCCUUGUGUUUGAUCAACGAGGACAACCAGCUCCACAGAGGAGAGCCCUUUCUUCAGUCAGGAGUAUGCAAGUUAAGUUAUAUCUAACAGUGUUCCCCUGCUAGAAUCUUUAAACAAGCUCUCAUGAAGGACUGACUUCCAAGUUGGUAGGAACUCAGGGAGGCACAUGCUAAAUCAGUUAAGAUCCUUGAGCUCAUCAAU
rnacentral:snRNA from 1 species